UCCCAGUGCGCGUCUAGCAAGGAGCCUGCGCCCCAGAGUAUCCCGGUAGCGCCGCGGGCCGGUGCUCGGCGCGCCGGGCCAUGCAGCGGCGGCCGCGGCGGAGUUCCCAGUGCCGGUAGCGCCCCUCUGAGGCAGUCUGAGAUGCCCCGGCCACUGUGAACGGUGCUGCCCACCAGGACACGCUCAGUCCCGGACGUACUCGGUUCUGAGCGCCCGCGACCAGCACCGAAUAGAGCUGCGAGCGCGGCAAAGACUGCCCAGCACGGGCAGGGGAAGCUGGCUGGUGGCAGCCCAGGGACACGUACUUAGUCUGACUCGGGCUGGCACUG
rnacentral:other from 1 species